UCUUUAUCGUCUCCAAUCGCUUUGUUUUGUUCGGCUCUUGUUCUCUGUUUUCACUUCAUUUUAACACAAGGGGACGGUUAAAAGGCAAAAACCCACUCUCUAUAUUCCAGUAAGUUCCGGCGGCGGCCAUGACUCCGGUUUCAUCAAAGCUUUACGCAGAUGAUGUGAGCUUAUUGAUGGUUCUCAUUGAUACAAAUCCCUACUUCUGGAGCUUCAUGAAGAAUACUUCCUUCCCAUUCUCUAAAUUCUUAUCUCAUGUUCUUGCUUUCUUGAAUUCGAUACUUUUACUGAAUCAGAUGAACCAAGUGGUUGUGAUUGCAACUGGGUACAAUUCAUGUAACUACGUAUUUGAUUCGUCUACUGCUUCGAUGCAAAGGGCCGAAUGCUUGUUGGAGAAACUUGAGGAGUUUGUAGAUGAAGAUGAGUUGUUGAGUCAAGAAGACUCUGUUGAUGGAGUUGGAUUUUCACUGCUUUCUGGCUCACUUUCUAUGGCUUUGUGCUAUAUCCAACGGGUAUUUCGUUCAGGGCCUCUUCAUCCACAGCCUCGGAUAUUAUGUCUGCAUGGAUCUCCAGAUGGACCCGGACAAUAUGUUGCAGUCAUGAAUUCAAUUUUCUCAGCUCAACGUUCAAUGGUGCCCAUUGAUUCAUGUGUAAUAGGAUCUCAGCAUUCUGCUUUUCUUCAGCAGGCUUCUUACAUCACUGGUGGUGUAUAUUUGAAACCCCAAGUAUCAGAUGGACUGUUUCAAUAUCUCUCUACAGUUUUUGCGACCGAUUUACAUUCUCGGGGUUUUUUGCAACUUCCCAGACCUGUGGGAGUUGACUUCCGUGCAUCGUGCUUUUGCCAUAAAAACACGAUUGACAUGGGUUACAUAUGCUCUGUUUGUUUAUCAAUAUUCUGCAAGCAUCACAAGAAAUGCUCAACAUGCGGAUCAAAUUUUGGAGAGGCACGAAACCAGGAUCCCUCAGCCUCGGAUCCGACGAGAAAUACUCCAGAUUUGAACAGAUAAUCCUAAAGCUCAGGUUGCUGCACAACUGUCUUUCAAGAGCUUCUUAUGCUAUAAGCUCCCAGUCCCAUAUAAUGUUAAAGAUGAGUGUAGGCCUUCACUGGGACUCUUAAUGAUGAGUGAGGUUGGAAGGAUGUCGAUUUGUAUUCGGGUCACUUUUGGAGAGAGGAAGGCAAAGGAGGACAUGUGGAGAGAGGAAGGCAAAUUGUUGCUGAACCUUUUCCAGUGUCGAGAAUCUCUUUUUCUAGGUGAAGGAAUACAUAGAAUGAUUCUAACGAGCUUGUCUGGAUUUAGUCUUUCAAUAUAAAAUGUUAUUGCCAAUUGAAAAGUUGGAGAUAGAAUUCCAAAACAAGGUGCAUAUAAUGAAAAUUUAAUGGAGUUCGGGACCAAUUUCCCCAGUAUUCUUAUUUCGUGGUGGCAUUUCAACUGGAAACUAAUAUGAUACUCCCUCUCUUUCAAUUUAUGUGAACCUAUUUGACUGGACACGACAUUUAAGAAAGAGUGAAGACUUUUGAAAUUUGUGGUUCAAAAUAAGUCUUGAAUAUUUGUGUGGUUGUAAAUCACUUCAUAAAGUGAAUUUAUUUCCAAAGUAGGAAAGAGGUCAUUCAUUUUGACAUGGACUAAAAAGGAAAUAAGUUUAUAUAAAUUGAAACAGAGGGAGUAUGUUUUUACAAGAAUUUUUUUACAGUGCUUCAAAAUUAGACUUAAAAACGUAAAAUAAAUGCUCUCUUUUGUUUUUUCACAGGAUUUCCAAUCCUAGCAGGAAAGGGAGGGAAACGGAUACUCAAUUUAAAGUGAGUAAACAAAAUUUCAUAUUCGAUCUCAUAGAUACAUAUAGAAUUCUGCGGAAAGGCGUAUUCGAUGAAAGUCGUAUGUACGGCUCGGUGCAAAGCUUCACAUGACUUGUUCGUUGUUCAGUUGGGGCAAAGUUGCAGAUUAGGUAUCCUCACCUUAAUUUUCAUCAUCAUCAACAACAACAACAACAUACCCAGUGAAUCCCACAACAUAGGGUCUGGGGAGGGUUACGCAGACCUUACCCCUACCUGAGGUAGGGAGGCUGUUUCCGGAAGACCCUCGGCUCAAGAAAAGGCAUAUGAAAGGUUAGAUACGGGCAAAUAAAUCAAAGCAAUUAUGAAAAUGAAAACAAUGAAAAUAAAUAAGUCAUUAUAAACCAACAGAUACUCGCAUAAAUCAAGAGACAAGAAAUUAUAGAGCAAUAUAACUACUCGUAAGAAAGGAUAAACGCGACUACCUACUAACCUUCUACCCUUAUAUGAGUCCUCCAAACCCUCCUAUCUAAGGUCAUGUCCUCGGUAAGCAGGAAAUGCGCCAUGUCCUAUCUAAUCACCUCUCCCCAAUACUUCUUCGACCUACCUCUACCUCUUCUGAAACUGUCGCUAGCCAGCCUCUCGCACCUCCGCACUGGGGCAUUUGCAUCUCUCCGCAUCACAUGCCCAAACCAUCUCAGCCUCGCUUCCCGCAUCUUGUCUUCCACUGAGGCUACUCCAACCUUAUCUCGGAUGACUUCAUUCCUAAUCCUAUCGCUCCUAGAGUGCCCACACAUCCAUCGUAGCAUUCUCAUUUUUCGCCACUUUCAUCUUCUGAACAUGAGAUUUCUUGACUGGCCAACACUUUACCCCAUACAACAUAGUUGCCUUUAAUUUUCAUCAGUUGUUAAUAUAUAAGUUGCUCCUUAAACUAAUCAGGAAAGGUCAUUUACACACCUUAACUUUACCGUGAUUCCAUCACUCCCGUGCCAUCAAAGUUGGAUUGUGAUCAAUUAUAGAAUACCCAUCUGAUGUGGUCAUUCAUCAAAAGUUAAUUAUUUUCAGGUUAGCAAUCAAAUUAUCAAUCCUCUUUCAUUU